GACGAACGCUGGCGGCGUGCCUAAUACAUGCAAGUGGGACGCAAGGACACACACUGUGCUUGCACACCGUGUUUUCUUGAGUCGCGAACGGGUGAGUAACGCGUAGGUAACCUGCCUAUUAGCGGGGGAUAACUAUUGGAAACGAUAGCUAAUACCGCAUAAUAUUAAUUAUUGCAUGAUAAUUGAUUGAAAGAUGCAAGCGCAUCACUAGUAGAUGGACCUGCGUUGUAUUAGCUAGUUGGUAAGGUAAGAGCUUACCAAGGCGACGAUACAUAGCCGACCUGGGAGGGUGAGCGGCCACACUGGGACUGAGACACGGCCCAGACUCCUACGGGAGGCAGCAGUAGGGAAUCUUCGGCAAUGGACGAAAGUCUGACCGAGCAACGCCGCGUGAGUGAAGAAGGUUUUCGGAUCGUAAAGCUCUGUUGUAAGUCAAGAACGUGUGUGAGAGUGGAAAGUUCACACAGUGACGGUAGCUUACCAGAAAGGGACGGCUAACUACGUG
rnacentral:rRNA from 1 species